GAAUGCUGACAUAAGUAACGAUAAAGCGGGUGAAAAGCCCGCUCGCCGGAAGACCAAGGGUUCCUGUCCAACGUUAAUCGGGGCAGGGUGAGUCGACCCCUAAGGCGAGGCCGAAAGGCGUAGUCGAUGGGAAACGGGUUAAUAUUCCCGUACUUGGUGUUACUGCGAAGGGGGGACGGAGAAGGCUAUGUUGGCCGGGCGACGGUUGUCCCGGUUUAAGCGUGUAGGUGUGUGUUCCAGGUAAAUCCGGUUCACUUUAACACUGAGGCGUGAUGACGAGGCACUACGGUGCUGAAGCAACAAAUGCCCUGCUUCCAGGAAAAGCCUCUAAGCAUCAGGUAACAUCAAAUCGUACCCCAAACCGACACAGGUGGUCAGGUAGAGAAUACCAAGGCGCUUGAGAGAACUCGGGUGAAGGAACUAGGCAAAAUGGUGCCGUAACUUC
rnacentral:rRNA from 1 species